AGAGUUUGAUUCUGGCUCAGAACGAACGCUGGCGGCGUGGAUAAGACAUGCAAGUCGAACGAUCCUCACGGGGUAGCAAUAUUCUGUGAGGAGAGUGGCGCAAGGGUGCGUAACACGUGGGUAAUCUGCCGCGAAGCCUGGAACAACCCCGAGAAAUCGGGGCUAAUACCGGAUGUGAUUGCUGGAGGGCCUCCUCUGGCACUCAAAGUCGGGGACCGCAAGGCCUGACACUUCGCGAUGAGCCCGCGGCCUAUCAGGUAGUUGGCGGGGUAACGGCCCACCAAGCCUAAGACGGGUAGCUGGUCUGAGAGGACGACCAGCCACACUGGAACUGAGACACGGUCCAGACACCUACGGGUGGCAGCAGUCGAGAAUUUUUCACAAUGGGCGCAAGCCUGAUGGAGCGACGCCGCGUGGGGGAUGAAUGGCUUCGGCCCGUAAACCCCUGUCAUUUGCGAUCAAGGCGUUUGGCCUAAUACGCCAAACGUUGAUAGUAGCGGAAGAGGAAGGGACGGCUAACUCUGUGCCAGCAGCCGCGGUAAUACAGAGGUCCCAAGCGUUGUUCGGAUUCACUGGGCGUAAAGGGUGCGUAGGCGGUCGGGUAAGUCUGACGUGAAAUCCCGCAGCUUAACUGCGGAACGGCGUCGGAUACUAUUUGGCUGGAGGGUGGGAAGGGGGACUAGAAUUCUCGGUGUAGCAGUGAAAUGCGUAGAUAUCGAGAGGAACACCAGUGGCGAAGGCGAGUCCCUGGACCACUCCUGACGCUGAGGCACGAAAGCUAGGGGAGCAAACAGGAUUAGAUACCCUGGUAGUCCUAGCCCUAAACGGUGCACGUUUGCUGUAAGAGGAAUCGACCCCUUUUGUGGCGAAGCCAACGCGUUAAACGUGCCGCCUGGGAAGUACGGCCGCAAGGUUAAAACUCAAAGAAAUUGACGGGGGCCUGCACAAGCGGUGGAGUAUGUGGCUCAAUUCGAUUCAACGCGAAGAACCUUACCUGGCCUUGACAUGCACGUAGUAGGAGGGUGAAAGCCCGACGAGGUCGCAAGACCCGCGUGCACAGGUGCUGCAUGGCUGUCGUCAGCUCGUGUCGUGAGAUGUUGGGUUAAGUCCCGCAACGAGCGCAACCCCUGUGUCCUGUUGCCACCCGGCCGAGAGGCUGGAGCACUCUGGACAGACUGCCUCGCUCAAACGGGGAGGAAGGUGGGGAUGACGUCAAGUCAGUAUGGCCCUUACGGCCAGGGCUGCACACGUACUACAAUGCCCGGCACAAAGGGAAGCAAGAUCGCAAGAUGGAGCAAAUCCCCAAAAACCGGGCCCAGUUCAGAUUGUCGUCUGCAACUCGACGGCAUGAAGCUGGAAUCGCUAGUAAUGGCGCAUCAGCUACGGCGCCGUGAAUACGUUCCCAGGCCUUGUACACACCGCCCGUCACAUCAUGAAAGCCGGUUGUACCCGAAGUCGCCCUUUAACAGGUGCCGAAGGUAUGGCUGGUGAUUGGGAUGAAGUCGUAACAAGGUA
rnacentral:rRNA from 1 species